CACCCCCUGAUUUGCAAUGGAAGGACAAAUUUCUACUUCAAAGUGUUGUUGCACUGGAUGGUGCAACCGCAAAAGACAUUACCCAGGAAAUGCUUAACAAAGAGGAUGGUAAGGUUGUGGAAGAGUUUAAGUUAAGGGUCAUUUACAUUCCUGCAAAUCCCCCAUCACCUGUCCCUGAAGAAUCUUAAGAAGGUUCUCCUCCCAGAUCAUCAGUGCUUGAGAAUGGGUAUCAAAAUCGGUUAUUGUUUGAUGCUGGCAGACAUGUUGUCUGCUUGAUACUUUCUCGAGGUUCAUUGUAGAAUGUCCUUAGAUGUUGAGACAAAGUGGCAAGAAGCUAGCAUUAUAAAGGUAGUAAAUGGUGGUUCGUACUAGGUGUCCUUAUAUUAAUAAGACAUUUAUGUCUUCUAAUUUCAUCUGAGUCAUAGGGUUUUGACAACCUCAUGAAAAUUGUGAGUGGGGCACUUCAUUUGAAGGGAAAAUUGUGAUGAUUGCUGAUUGUGACUAC